GACGAACGCUGGCGGCGUGCUUAACACAUGCAAGUCGAACGGAAAGGCCCUGCUUUUGUGGGGUGCACGAGUGGCCAACGGGUGAGUAACACGGGAGUAACCUGCCUUCGACUUUGGGAUAACUUCAUAAAAGUGGCGCUAACACCUAAUAGGAGCUCCUGCUGCAUGGUGGGGGUUGAAUAGUUUGGGCGGUUGGGGAUGGACUCGCGGGUUAUCAGCUUGUUGGUGGGGUAGUGGUUUACCAAGGCUUUGACGGGUAGCCGGCACGGGGGGGUACCCGGCGCACUGGGGCCUACGGUAGGCCCCAGACUCCAAGGGGAGGCAGAGGGGGGAAGUAUGGCACAGUGGGGGGAAGCGUGUUGAAGAACAGCGGGGUGCGGAAUGCCGGCCUUCGGGUGGUAAACGGCUUUGGCCUGUGACGAAGCGUGAGUGACGGUAAUGGGUAAAGAAGCACCGGCUAACUACGUG
rnacentral:rRNA from 1 species